rnacentral:misc_RNA from 1 species
UUAAGUUCAGCGGGUAUCCCUACCUGAUCCGAGGUCAACCUAAUAGAAGUUUUAACGGCAGCGAACUCCCCUUUUCAUAAGCGAAUUGAAUGCCACAACGCUGAGAAUCGGGUCGUCCAGCCGGUGAGAUCGAGGCGUAAGGGAGCCUUAUCGCCCAAUACCAAGCCAGGCUUGAGUGGUGUAAUGACGCUCGAACAGGC